rnacentral:rRNA from 1 species
GUGCCAGCAGCCGCGGUAAUACGUAGGAGGCAAGCGUUGUCCGGAUUUACUGGGCGUAAAGCGCGCGCAGGCGGCAGUGCAAGUAAGGUGUGAAAUCUCCCUGCUCAACGGGGAGGGUGCAUUUUAGACUGCACAGCUAGAGGUCGGUAGAGGGGGGUGGAAUUGCUGGUGUAGCGGUGAAAUGCGUAGAGAUCAGCAGGAACACCCGUGGCGAAGGCGGCCCCCUGGGCCGUACCUGACGCUGAGGCGCGAAGGCUAGGGGAGCGAACGGGAUUAGAUACCCCGGUAGUCC